rnacentral:rRNA from 1 species
AUUGAACGCUGGCGGCAUGCCUUACACAUGCAAGUCGAACGGCAGCACGGGUGCUUGCGCCUGGUGGCGAGUGGCGAACGGGUGAGUAAUACAUCGGAACGUACCUUAUCGUGGGGGAUAACGCAGCGAAAGCUGUGCUAAUACCGCAUACGCCCUGAGGGGGAAAGCGGGGGAUCGCAAGACCUCGCGCGAUUAGAGCGGCCGAUGCCUGAUUAGCUUGUUGGUGGGGUAAAAGCCCACCAAGGCGACGAUCAGUAGCUGGUCUGAGAGGACGAUCAGCCACACUGGGACCGAGACACGGCCCAGACUCCUACGGGAGGCAGCAGUGGGGAAUUUUGGACAAUGGGGGCAACCCUGAUCCAGCAAUGCCGCGUGAGUGAAGAAGGCCUUCGGGUUGUAAAGCUCUUUUGUCAGGGAAGAAACACCGGCUCUAACACAGUCCGGGAAUGACGGUACCUGAAGAAUAAGCACCGGCUAACUACGUGCCAGCAGCCGCCGCCG